rnacentral:rRNA from 1 species
AAGCCCGACACGCCACGCCGUCUGGGGAAUGGCUCGGCUCGGGCGCCGAAGAAGGGCGUGGCAAGCUGCGAAAAGCCCCGGAUAGGCGCAUGCAGCCUUCGAACCGGGGAUCCCCGAAUGGGACUUCCUGCUGUGAAUCCUUCGGGGUUCACAGCGCUCCGAAAGGAGCGGGAACCCCCUGAACGGAAACAUCUUAGUAAGGGGAGGAAAAGAAACCAAUUGGGAUUCCCUAAGUAGCGGCGAGCGAAAGGGGAUUAGUCCAAACCGAACCUCAUGAGGAAACUCAUGAGGAAUGUGGGGUUGAAGGACCCAGUCGCCUCCUCGUUGGUUAAGCUGAAGUGGCCUGGAACGGCCCACCAUAGAGGGUGAAAGUCCCGUAAGCGUAAGCUAACAGGAGUUGGACUGGGCUCCUGAGUACCGCGCCUCGGUUUUGGUGCGGGAAACAGGGGGGCAUCAACCUCCAAGGCUAAAUACGUCCCGAGACCGAUAGCGCACUAGUACGGUGACGGACAGCUGAAAAGCACCCCGGAAGGGGGGUGAAAAGAGCCUGAAACCAGACGGUUACAGACGUGCGUAGCCCGAAAGGGUAGAUCCCUUCCGAAGGAAACCACGGUGACGUGGGAGUACGAGGGAGGGGGACCAGGGUUACGCGUUCAGUUUAGAAACACUGGCCGGGGAGUUCACGGUCGUGGCGAGCUUAAGGGAUUAAAAUCCCGAAUGCGCAGGGAAACCGACAAGCCCGCAAUCAACAUAUAGGCUAGGCAAAGGCUUCUUCCCAUUCGGGAAGAAGCCUAAGCUGAUAGCCAGUGUUGAUGAGGGGCGGGGUCUGAAAGGGCCCGGAGUCACGGCCGUGAAGCUAGAAACCGGGCGAUCUAGCCCUGGGCAGGGCGAAGCCAGGCGAAAGCCUGGUGGAGGCCCGAAAGGGUUCUGACGUGCAAUUCGUUCCCCAGACCUGGGGCUAGGGGCUAAAGACCAAUCUAGCCCGGUGAUAGCUAGUUCCCUCCGAAGUGGGUCGCAGCCCAGCCCGUCCGGAGGCAAUUGGUAGGGUAGAGCACUGAUCGAGGAGCAAGGAUCCGAAAGGGUCCACUUCUCUUUCAAACUCCGAACUUACCAAUGCCGUAGAUGGACGGAGACGGGUUCGUGGGGGUAAGCCCCACGGCCGAGAGGGGAACAACCCAGACCGGGGUUAAGGUCCCUAAGUGCUGGCUAAGUGUCAAUCUGAAAGGGCGUCCUCAGCCACAGACAGCGGGGAGGUAGGCUCAGAAGCAGCCAUCCUCUAAGCAGUGCGUAACAGCUGACCCGCCGAGGCUGGGGGCCCCGAAAAUGGACGGGGCUAAGCCAGCCACCGAGACCCCGGGGUGCGGCUUCGGCCGCAAUCCGGUAGGAGGGCGUCCCGAUUGGGUAGAAGCUGGGUCGUAAGAUCCAGUCGACCGGUCGGGAUUGCAGAUCCCGGUGGUAGUAACAGCAUAGUCGGGUGAGAAUCCCGACCGCCGCAGGGGCCAGGGUUCCCCGGCAAUGCGUCGUCAGCCGGGGGUAAGCCGGUCCUAAGGUCAAGCUUAACCGACUUGGCCGAAAGGGAAACCGGUUAAGAUUCCGGUGCCACAGAGGUACGUGCGGCAACGCAAGCCUAACACCCGACGCUUCAAGAUAGGCUGAGCAGGGCCAUCGCCCUGUUUAACCGUAUAAACCUAGGGAGUGCCGUAAUGGCGAGAACUAGGUCAAAGCGGGAAUAGCCGCCCGUUUAGGGCGGUUCAGCCGAUUCUUGGAGCCCGUGAAAAAGGUGUUGGGAAGGAUCCUCUGUGACCGUACCUAGAACCGACACAGGUGCCCCUAGGCGAGAAGCCUCAGGUGUGUCGGGGAUACUCUAGGCGAGGGAACUCGGCAAAUUAGCCCCGUAACUUCGGGAUAAGGGGUGCCUACGGUUUUGGCUUCGGCUGGAACCGUAGGUUGCAAUGACAAGGGGGUCCCGACUGUUUAAUAAAAACAUAGGAAACCGCUAGCCCGAAAGGGUGUGUACGGUUUCUGAAUCCUGGCCAGUGGCGGUACCUAAAACCCGGGUACAACCGGGCUAAGGGCCGCUAAACGCCGGGAGUAACUCUGACUCUCUUAAGGUAGCCAAAUGCCUUGUCGGGUAAGUUCCGACGUGCAUGAAUGGAUCAACGAGGACCCCGCUGUCCCCGCCUAGAACCCGGUGAACCCACAGAACCCGGCGAACAGUCCGGGAACCCUCAGCGGGGAGAGAAGACCCCGUGGAGCUUUACUGCAGCCUGUCGCUGGGACAUGGCUGUGAUUGCAGAGUGUAGUCGGGAGCCGUCGAUCCCAAUCUCUUCGGGGAUUGGGGGAGGCGACAAUGUAACACCGACCUUUCGCGGCUAUGUCUCUUACCAGGGCGGAAGCUCUGGGACAACGGCAGGUGGGCAGUUCGGCUGGGGCGGCACCCCCUUGAAAAGGUAUCGAGGGGGCCCAAAGGUCGGCUCAGGCGGGACAGAAACCCGCCGUAGAGGGCAAGGCCAAAAGCCGGCCUGACUGAAUCCUCAACAGUAAGGGAUUCAGGAGCGAAAGCUGGGCCUAGCGAUCCUUCGUGCCCCUAUUGAUGGGGGCCGGAGGUGACAGAAAAGUUACCCCGGGGAUAACAGGCUCGUCGCGGGUGAGAGCUCCCAUCGACCCCGCGGUUUGGUACCUCGUCGUCGGCUCUUCCCAUCCUGGCUGCGCAGCAGCGGCCAAGGGCGGGGCUGCGCGCCCAUUAAAGGGGAACGUGAGCUGGGUUUAGACCGUCGUGAGACAGGUCGGACUCUACCUGCUGGGAGUGCUGGUCGCCUGAGGGGAAGGUGUCCCUAGUACGAGAGGAACGGGGCGCCGUAGCCUCUAGUUUACCGGUUGUCCGAUAGGGCACUGCCGGGCAGCCGCGCUGCUUGGGAUAAGGGCUGAAAGCAUCUAAGCCCGAAGCCCUUCCCGAAAAUAGGCGACCAUUCCACGGCACUGGACCUUGGUAACAAGGCCCACGCUGUGGACGAGGGCCGGGGUAGAAGACCCCGUUGAUGGGGUGGGGGUGUACGCUGGAAGGCUUCGGCCGACCAGUUUAGCCCGCCACUCCCAAUCGCCCGAGGUGCCGGGCUG